UACGCAGGGGGCAAGCGUUGUCCGGAUUUAUUGGGCGUAAAGAGCUCGUAGGCGGUCUGUUGCGUCGGUUGUGAAAACCUGGGGCUCAACUCCAGGCCUGCAAUCGAUACGGGUAGACUAGAGUUCGGUAGGGGAGACUGGAAUUCCUGGUGUAGCGGUGAAAUGCGCAGAUAUCAGGAGGAACACCGGUGGCGAAGGCGGGUCUCUGGGCCGAAACUGACGCUGAGGAGCGAAAGCGUGGGGAGCGAACAGG
rnacentral:rRNA from 1 species